UGGGGAAUAUUGGACAAUGGGCGAAAGCCUGAUCCAGCCAUGCCGCGUGUGUGAAGAAGGUCUUCGGAUUGUAAAGCACUUUAAGUUGGGAGGAAGGGCAGUAAGCGAAUACCUUGCUGUUUUGACGUUACCGACAGAAUAAGCACCGGCUAACUCUGUGCCAGCAGCCGCGGGAAUACAGAGGGUGCGAGCGUUAAUCGGAUUUACUGGGCGUAAAGCGUGCGUAGGCUGCUAAUUGAGUCGGAUGUGAAAUCCCCGAGCGUAACUUGGGAAUUGCAUUCGAUACUGGUUAGCUAGAGUGGGGGGUAGGAUAGUAGAAUUCCAGGUGUAGCGGUGAAAUGCAUAGAUAUCUGGAGGAAUACCGAUGGCGAAGGCAGCCAUCUGGCCUAACACUGACGCUGAGGUACGAAAGCAUGGGGAGCAAACAGG
rnacentral:rRNA from 1 species